GGCAACUCGAGGAGGAACAAGAAGAAACAACUGGCAGGUGGCAAGAGGAGGAGAUGAUGUGGCAGGAGAAGAACAAUUCGGGAUUUUUAACAGAGUGGCUAACUUCUCGUGUGAAAGCAGCAGGCAGCUGGACACUGCGGGCGAUGCUGGACCCAUCUUGUGGGUGGUGGUGGAGCUGCGACCUCCCCCCGGGGGGGUCAGAAUCCUUGUGCCUUCCUCAGCCCCCACAACCCCGCCACGUUCAUCCCACUGGUGAUGCCGGUGCCAAGGGGAUCCCCGGGGACCGUGGGGCCGGACUUUGUGUCAUGGUGUGAAUGCAACAUGUUCGACAGCAUACCUGCCGGGGAAAAUCUCUUCUCUGAUGGUAUGCAGUGGAGCUGAGAAGGGGACAGGACAGAGCCCAGUGGAGCGCAGCAGGGCAGACAGCUCGAAGCAGACCACGCUUUUGGCACCGAGGAGCAGCCGUCGGCUCCAGAGCUGCUGCCGGGAUGGAGUGGGGCCCACCGAGGGCUCUGCCCCAGAGCCGUGCCCAGGGGGAUCCUGCCUGGAAAGAGCCUCUUCCCUGGGCCGCCUGCAGCGUGGCUGGAAAUCAUCUCGGAGUGCCACAUCCAUCACCCCCAAAUUGUUCGGCAACCUCCAGGACAGCGUGAGCAGGCAGCAGCAUCUGUUCCUCCCCACCGGGGCCGCGAUGAUGGACUGCCAAGGACGGGGCUCCCGCCGAACUUCUCGCCGCCUGCGAGCCAAGGUGCUGAGGAAAGUUGUAACCUCCCCAGGUCAGCGAAGCCUCCUCGCUUGACAUCAACCCCAACGAGCAUCUGUGUCCUCCUUGAGACCCUCCCAGAAGAUGGAACAAGGACGGCACCGAAGGAUUUAACUCCAGUGGACUCUCCGUACCUCUGGUCACACAGCCAAUUUAUUCUUCCGCAGUACGGCGCUGUCCCUGUGGGCCAAUUAGGCAGAGAUACCACCUUCUGAAAGCAGCACAUGAUGGAGCCACAUGUCUUUGCUGCAA